UUUAGAAUAGCAUGCCCUAGGUAACCACCUAAGUUGCCUAGACGUCGCUUUGGGUCUGGGAGGCUUCUCCAGAUGCACGUACAACAAGUAGGCUUGCUCUUUUAUGAACAAAAUUAAUUUUGUUUCAAUUUUCCUUUUCAUGUCCACUCAGAUUUGAGUCAAUUUUAUAAAUAAAGUUCUGUAUCAUGGUGCUGCAAGUUUAUAACGUGAGGCAUCUAUUUGUCCUUCGUCCAUCGUAUCUGGUUCUGUUCUCCAGACUUCAAUGUAGUCGCGCUGCUGGAGAUAAAGAUGUAUUACAAGAGCAGUGAGGUUUGAAUUCCUCUGAAAAACAGCAACUCACGUAAAGACGAUUGGAUCGAUCGGCGACGAAUUGAUUGAUCGGUGAUGGCUGCUUGACCACUGUUGGGUGUCGGUUCGGUUGUUGCUAUAAGCAAUGCUCGGCGUAUGCGGUUGCUUGUUUAAUUUACUAGAUUGCUGCGAUUUGUAAGGGUGCAUUUGGUAACGUUUUCUUGAUGGGUGUUUUUUUGUUUUUUGGAAAUGAAAAAGAAAAAAUAUGUUUGGUUAAGCUAUUUUUUUGAUAAAGAGUAAAAAAAUGAGAACAAAAUAUUUUCAUUUUCUAACUUUUGUAAAGAAAACUCAAGAACGCUAAAUUUGCGUUCUUGAGUUGCUGGAGAACAACAUAAAAAAAGACGAGAUAAAAAGUUAUUCUGAACCCAC
rnacentral:lncRNA from 1 species